rnacentral:lncRNA from 1 species
CAGACAGCCCACGCCUGAGGCUGGGGUUGUCCACAGGUGAGGUGUCCAGCAUGCAGCGGAGCAAAGCGCAAAGACCGGCCACCCCGGAAGUGUCCCAUGUGCUCAGGCUCUGGCAGGCGCAGAUGCAGCAUGUGCUCCGGGAGAGGGAG